UGCAGUCGAGCGGAUGAAGGGAGCUUGCUCCUGGAUUCAGCGGCGGACGGGUGAGUAAUGCCUAGGAAUCUGCCUGGUAGUGGGGGAUAACGUCCGGAAACGGGCGCUAAUACCGCAUACGUCCUGAGGGAGAAAGUGGGGGAUCUUCGGACCUCACGCUAUCAGAUGAGCCUAGGUCGGAUUAGCUAGUUGGUGGGGUAAAGGCCUACCAAGGCGACGAUCCGUAACUGGUCUGAAAGGAUGAUCAGUCCCACUGGAACUGAGACACGGUCCAGACUCCUACGGGAGGCAGCAGUGGGGAAUAUUGGACAAUGGGCGAAAGCCUGAUCCAGCCAUGCCGCGUGGGUGAAGAAGGUCUUCGGAUUGUAAAGCACUUUAAGUUGGGAGGAAGGGCAGUAAGUUAAUACCUUGCUGUUUUGACGUUACCAACAGAAUAAGCACCGGCUAACUUCGUGCCAGCAGCCGCGGUAAUACGAAGGGUGCAAGCGUUAAUCGGAAUUACUGGGCGUAAAGCGCGCGUAGGUGGUUCAGCAAGUUGGAUGUGAAAUCCCCGGGCUCAACCUGGGAACUGCAUCCAAAACUACUGAGCUAGAGUACGGUAGAGGGUGGUGGAAUUUCCUGUGUAGCGGUGAAAUGCGUAGAUAUAGGAAGGAACACCAGUGGCGAAGGCGACCACCUGGACUGAUACUGACACUGAGGUGCGAAAGCGUGGGGAGCAAACAGGAUUAGAUACCCUGUUAGUCCACGCCGUAAACGAUGUCGACUA
rnacentral:rRNA from 1 species